rnacentral:rRNA from 1 species
GACAGAGGGUGCAAACGUUGUUCGGAAUUACUGGGCGUAAAGCGCGUGUAGGCGGCCCUGCAAGUCGGAUGUGAAAUCCCACGGCUCAACCGUCGGAAGUGCAUUCGAAACUGCAGGGCUAGAGUCCUGGAGAGGAAGGUGGAAUGCUUGGUGUAGAGGUGAAAUUCGUAGAUAUCAAGCGGAACACCGGUGGCGAAGGCGGCCUUCUGGACAGUGACUGACGCUGAGACGCGAAAGCGUGGGGAGCAAACAGG